UCCGAAUGGGGAAACCCACUGCUUCGGCAGUAUCCUGCAGUGAAUUCAUAGCUGCUGGAAGCGAACCCGGUGAACUGAAAUAUCUAAGUAACCGGAGGAAAAGAAAUCAACCGAGAUUCCCUAAGUAGUGACGAGCGAACGGGGAACAGCCCUUAAGCUGGAAUGGCUUUAGAAAAACAAUCUGGAAAGAUUGGCCAUAGAAGGUGAUAGCCCUGUAUUUAAAAGGGCCAUUCCAGUGAAGACGAGUAGGGCGGGGCACGUGAAACCCUGUCUGAAUAUGGGGGGACCAUCCUCCAAGGCUAAAUACUCCUGACCGACCGAUAGUGAACCAGUACCGUGAGGGAAAGGCGAAAAGAACCCCGGAGAGGGGAGUGAAAUAGAUCCUGAAACCGUGUGCGUACAAGCAGUAGGAGCUCGCAAGAGUGACUGCGUACCUUUUGUAUAAUGGGUCAGCGACUUACUGUUCGUGGCAAGCUUAACCGUAUAGGGGAGGCGAAGGGAAACCGAGUCUGAUAAGGGCGCAUAGUCGCGGGCAGUAGACCCGAAACCGGGUGAUCUAGUCAUGGCCAGGGUGAAGGUGCCGUAACAGGUACUGGAGGCCCGAACCCACGUCUGUUGCAAAAGACGGGGAUGAGCUGUGAUUAGGAGUGAAAAGCUAAUCGAACCCGGAGAUAGCUGGUUCUCCUCGAAAGCUAUUUAGGUAGCGCCUCGGACGAAUACUACUGGGGGUAGAGCACUGUUAUGGCUAGGGGGUCAUCGCGACUUACCAAACCAUUGCAAACUCCGAAUACCAGUACGUACUAUCCGGGAGACACACGGCGGGUGCUAACGUCCGUCGUGAAAAGGGAAACAACCCAGACCCACAGCUAAGGUCCCAAAUUCACUGCUAAGUGGAAAACGAUGUGGAAAGGCACAGACAGCCAGGAGGUUGGCUUAGAAGCAGCCACCCUUUAAAGAAAGCGUAAUAGCUCACUGGUCGAGUCGGUCUGCGCGGAAGAUUUAACGGGGCUAAGCAGUGAACCGAAGCUUGGGGUGCAUAAAACUUGUUUUAUGCGCGGUAGAGGAGCGUUCCGUAAGCCUGCGAAGGUGGAUUGAGAAGUCUGCUGGAGGUAUCGGAAGUGCGAAUGCUGACAUGAGUAACGAUAAUGCGGGUGAAAAGCCCGCACGCCGAAAGCCCAAGGUUUCCUUGCGCAACGUUAAUCGACGCAGGGUUAGUCGGUCCCUAAGGCGAGGGCGAAAGCCGUAGUCGAUGGGAAGCAGGUUAAUAUUCCUGCACCUCGCGUGAGUGCGAUGGAGGGACGGAGAAGGUUAGGUGUACCGGGCGUUGGUUGUCCCGGGGAAAGGCGGUAGGUUUGGAUCUUUGGCAAAUCCGGGAUCCUUUAAGACCGAGCACCGAGACGAGCCUUUAUGGCGAAGUCACUGAUACCACGCUUCCAGGAAAAGCUCCUAAGCUUCAGCUCACGAAGACCGUACCGUAAACCGACACAGGUGGGUAGGAUGAGAAUUCUCAGGCGCUUGAGAGAACUCGGGUGAAGGAACUAGGCAACAUGGCACCGUAACUUCGGGAGAAGGUGCACCCUUUUUGGUGGCUCAUGCGAGCUAUAGCUGAAGAGGGUCGCAGAAACCAGGCCGCUGCGACUGUUUAUCAAAAACACAGCACUCUGCAAACACGAAAGUGGACGUAUAGGGUGUGACGCCUGCCCGGUGCUGGAAGGUUAAUUGAUGGGGUCAGCCGCAAGGCGAAGCUCUUGAUCGAAGCCCCAGUAAACGGCGGCCGUAACUAUAACGGUCCUAAGGUAGCGAAAUUCCUUGUCGGGUAAGUUCCGACCUGCACGAAUGGCGUAACGACAGCGGCGCUGUCUCCACCCGAGACUCAGUGAAAUUGAAAUCGCUGUGAAGAUGCAGCGUUCCCGUGGCAAGACGGAAAGACCCCGUGAACCUUUACUAUAGCUUUACACUGAACGUUGAGUUCGUCUGUGUAGGAUAGGUGGGAGGCUAUGAAACUGUGGCGCUAGCUGCAGUGGAGCCAUCCUUGAAAUACCACCCUGUCGUGCUUGACGUUCUAACCUAGAUCCGUUAUCCGGAUCAGGGACCGUGUAUGGUGGGUAGUUUGACUGGGGCGGUCUCCUCCUAAAGAGUAACGGAGGAGCACGAAGGUACGCUCAGCGCGGUCGGACAUCGCGCACUGUGUGCAAAGGCAUAAGCGUGCUUGACUGCAAGAUCGACGGAUCAAGCAGGUACGAAAGUAGGUCUUAGUGAUCCGGUGGUUCUGUAUGGAAGGGCCAUCGCUCAACGGAUAAAAGGUACUCCGGGGAUAACAGGCUGAUACCGCCCAAGAGUUCAUAUCGACGGCGGUGUUUGGCACCUCGAUGUCGGCUCAUCACAUCCUGGGGCUGUAGUCGGUCCCAAGGGUAUGGCUGUUCGCCAUUUAAAGUGGUACGCGAGCUGGGUUCAGAACGUCGUGAGACAGUUCGGUCCCUAUCUGCCAUGGGCGUUGGAAGUUUGAGAGGGGCUGCUCCUAGUACGAGAGGACCGGAGUGGACGAACCUCUGGUGUUCCGGUUGUCACGCCAGUGGCAUUGCCGGGUAGCUAUGUUCGGAAGCGAUAACCGCUGAAAGCAUCUAAGCGGGAAGCGCGCCUCAAGAUGAGACUUCCCGGGGCACAAGCCCCCUAAAGGAACCAUAUAGACUAUGUGGUUGAUAGGUCAGGUGUGU
rnacentral:rRNA from 1 species